CAGUCGCCACGGUAAAACGUAGGUGGCAAGCGUUGUCCGGAAUUAUUGGGCGUAAAGGGCUCGCAGGCGGUUUCUUAAGUCUGAUGUGAAAGCCCCCGGCUCAACCGGGGAGGGUCAUUGGAAACUGGGAAACUUGAGUGCAGAAGAGGAGAGUGGAAUUCCACGUGUAGCGGUGAAAUGCGUAGAGAUGUGGAGGAACACCAGUGGCGAAGGCGACUCUCUGGUCUGUAACUGACGCUGAGGAGCGAAAGCGUGGGGAGCGAACAGGAUUAGAUACCCGCGUAGUCCCUGUCUCUUAUAU
rnacentral:rRNA from 1 species